UAUUACAAAUACAAUAUAUAUAUUGUCUGCCGCAAACGAAUCGGCCCCGCCGUAGGUGUUUCUUAGGCGAGUGGUCAUUCAUAGUACAGAUUAAAUUUAUUUGAAUUUUAUUUUGAAAUCAGAAUUAUAGGUUCAUGGCUUCCAACAGACUUAAGAGUCUGCUGUUAAUUAUCCCAUACUUUCAGUGUUAAGGAACCCUCGAUUAAGAGACUGAAUAUAAAUAUUGAUAAUAAAAGAGACCAAACAGACAAAUAAACUUUUAUUAAUAUGAUUUACCGUGUACAUAGCUUAAGCAGGGGCAUUCUCCCACUGUACAUAGAUUUUAUAAAAUUAAAUACUCAGUUUAUAGACUUGAUGGUCAUAUCUGAACUUGAUUUGCUCGGUUUAGCGACUUGGCUGUUGAUUGAAGUUGAGAUGCUCAGUUUAGCGACAUGGCGGUCGAUUUUAAAUUGAGUUGCUCAGUUUAAUUACAUGGCAGUCGGUUUGAGUUUUUGUGCUCAGUUUAAUGACAUGGCGGUCGGUUGAAGUUGAGAUGCUCAGUUUAGCAACAUGGCGGUCGAUUUCAAAUUGAGUUGCUCAGUUUAAUGGCGUGGCGGUCGGUUUGAGAUUUUGGUGCUCAGUUUAAUGACAUGGCGGUCGAAUGUUCAGUUUAAUGACUUAACAGUCAUUUGUUCAGUUUAACGAUUUGACGGUUGUAUCUGAACUUGAUUUGUUCAGUUUAGCGACUUGGCGGUCGAUUUUAAAUUGAGUUGCUCAGUUUAAUAAUAUGACGGUCGGUUUGAGUUUUGUUGCUCAGUUUAAUAACAUGGCGGUCGGUUUGAGUUUUAGUACUCAGUUUAAUGACGUAGCGGUCGGUUUGAGUUUUGGCGCUCAGUUUAAUGACAUGGCGGUCGGAUGUUCAGUUUAACGACUUGAUGGUCAAUAUUCAGUUUAACGACUUAAUAGUCAUAUUUGAAUUUGAUUUGCUCAGUUUAGCGACUUGACGGUCGAAGGGGUUUGAUUUGAUUGCUCAGUUUAACGACUUGGUGGUCAAAUGUUCAGUUUAAUGACUUAAUAGUCAUUUGUUCAGUUUAGCGAUUUGACGGUCAUAUCUGAACUUAAUUUGCUCAGUUUAGCGACUUGACGGUCGAUUGAAGUUGAGGUGCUCAUAAAACUAAUUCAUAAAAUUAAUUCAUGCUACGAGCUCGUUUGUAAAGUCUAUUAAAUUAAUUGAUGAAAUUAAUUCAUGAUAGGGGGACAUUUGGGGAGCCCAUGAAAUGGGUUUAUGAAAUUUAUUUAUGGUAGGGA
rnacentral:lncRNA from 1 species